rnacentral:rRNA from 1 species
UACAGAGGUCUCAAGCGUUGUUCGGAUUCAUUGGGCGUAAAGGGUGCGUAGGCGGCGCGGUAAGUCGGAUGUGAAAUCUCGGAGCUUAACUCCGAAACUGCAUUCGAUACUGCCGUGCUUGAGGACUGGAGAGGAGACUGGAAUUUAGGUGUAGCGGUGAAAUGCGUAGAUAAGUCAGGAGGAACACCCGUGGCGAAGGCGGCUUCCUGGCCAUAUCCU